GGGAUGUUACACUUGUUGUGUGCUAUCUUGUUAAGCUCAAACUCUGCUUAUGCAAAUGUGAAAAAUACAAUCCUUGAUUUCAAAUCUGCAUGGAUGUCAGUUCAAAUUAUAUGAAUUCCUUCAAUUCCAAGGGUCUCCUAUUUGAUGUCUUUAAGCAUUGAAGCAUGCACGAUGAUCACAAACAAACUGUUUAAUACAAAAUUCACAAAAAGAAAGUGUUACAUAUGAUGUACAAAACCCCGAAUUCUGCAGCAUUCUUGACAGGGAAGCAAUACUUCAAAAUUUCACAUAAUUUAACAGCAUCAAUAUCAUUUAUAAACACAUGGAAAAUCAUCAAGCAUUUAUAGCACACCAAUCCAACCCUUUUUCUUCAUUAUUUGUAGAAUUGCAGCUGCAAUCCAUAAUAUAGUUCUGUCACAGAACAUAAUACUACAAUCACAACACCAGAAAUCCUUAUUUUCCCUUUCAAUUGCUCUCUUUUUCUUUUUCUUUUUUUUAAUU
rnacentral:misc_RNA from 1 species